GAGUAAUGUCUGGGAAACUGCCUGAUGGAGGGGGAUAACUACUGGAAACGGUGGCUAAUACCGCAUAACGUCGCAAGACCAAAGAGGGGGACCUUCGGGCCUCUUGCCAUCAGAUGUGCCCAGAUGGGAUUAGCUAGUUGGUGAGGUAACGGCUCACCAAGGCGACGAUCCCUAGCUGGUCUGAGAGGAUGACCAGCCACACUGGAACUGAGACACGGUCCAGACUCCUACGGGAGGCAGCAGUGGGGAAUAUUGCACAAUGGGCGCAAGCCUGAUGCAGCCAUGC
rnacentral:rRNA from 1 species